rnacentral:rRNA from 1 species
AUUGAACGCUGGCGGCAGGCCUAACACAUGCAAGUCGAGCGAGCGGCGGACGGGCGAGUAACGUAUGGGUAUUGCCCGAUAGAGGGGGAUCACUACUGGAAACGGUGGCUAAUACUGCAUACUAUCGGAUAACCCAUAUUGGAGUAGCUAGUAGGAGGGGUAAAGGCUCACUUAGGCGACGACCUCUAGCUGGUCUGAGAGGAUGAUCAGGAACACUGGGAGUAAGACACGGCCCAGACUCCUGCGGAGGAAGGAGUGGGGAAUAUUGCACAAUGGGCACAAGCCGGAUGCGGCCAUGCCGAGUGUAUGAAGAAGGCCUUAGGGUUGUAAAGUACUUUCAGCUGGGAGGCGUUACCCGCAGAAGAAGCGCCGGCUAAAUACGUACCAGCAGCCGCGGUAAUAC